AGAGUUUGAUCAUGGCUCAGAUUGAACGCUGGCGGCAUGCUUUACACAUGCAAGUCGAACGGCAGCACGGACUUCGGUCUGGUGGCGAGUGGCGAACGGGUGAGUAAUACAUCGGAACGUGCCCAGUUGUGGGGGAUAACUACUCGAAAGAGUAGCUAAUACCGCAUGAGAACUGAGGUUGAAAGCAGGGGAUCGUAAGACCUUGCGCAACUGGAGCGGCCGAUGGCAGAUUAGGUAGUUGGUGGGAUAAAAGCUUACCAAGCCGACGAUCUGUAGCUGGUCUGAGAGGACGACCAGCCACACUGGGACUGAGACACGGCCCAGACUCCUACGGGAGGCAGCAGUGGGGAAUUUUGGACAAUGGGCGAAAGCCUGAUCCAGCAAUGCCGCGUGCAGGAUGAAGGCCUUCGGGUUGUAAACUGCUUUUGUACGGAACGAAAAGCUUCGGGUUAAUACCCUGAAGUCAUGACGGUACCGUAAGAAUAAGCACCGGCUAACUACGUGCCAGCAGCCGCGGUAAUACGUAGGGUGCAAGCGUUAAUCGGAAUUACUGGGCGUAAAGCGUGCGCAGGCGGUCUUGUAAGACAGAG
rnacentral:rRNA from 1 species